UGCUGAGUUCACCUUUGUUUGUUCUCCCCACAAGAAACCAUGAAGAGAGAUUUGACCCUCUGCCUUAUUUCUAUUCUCCUCCCUUGGGUCCGCGGAGCAGUAAAUGUAACAACCUGUGUUUCAUGUCCCCUUGGAAGCACCAAAUGCGCAGCUACUUGCAAAGCUCUUGCAUGUGUUACUUUGGCAGAAGUCAAUACACUGGGUGGAAAUGUCAGUCCCAGUGGAUCAUACAAAGGAUGCAUUGAGUAUUGUAGACCUGUUGCCUUCACCUUCACCACAGCUGCUGGACGUCACAUUCAAAGCAAUAUGGCCUGUUGCUCAACAGAUA